rnacentral:SRP_RNA from 1 species
CGGCGGGAAAGCCUCGGGGGGCUAGCCCUCCCCUGUAACCGCAAACGGGCUACAUGGCGGGAGGCGUUAACCCGCAGGGGCGCCCAGGGGCCCACCUGCUCCGCGGAGGCGACCCUGUGAUGCCGGCUCCGCGGGACGCUCUGUCCCACCGGGUCUCCUGUAGGGGAGACCCAAGGAGGGUACGGCCGAACUGGGUUAGGCCCGGGAGGGAGCGGCCCUAAGGCCGGCAGGGCGUGUUCGCGGUAGGCUGGGUUGAGGGCUACGCCUCCGCGGGAAGGUGGUCUCCCCUAGGGCCACCCUGCAGGGGAGGCCGCCG